UACGUAGGGGGCAAGCGUUAUCCGGAUUUACUGGGUGUAAAGGGGGCGUAGACGGCCAUGCAAGCCAGGGGUGAAAGCCCGGGGCCCAACCCCGGGACUGCCCUUGGAACUGCAUGGCUGGAGUGCGGGAGGGGCAGGCGGAAUUCCUGGUGUAGCGGUGAAAUGCGUAGAUAUCAGGAGGAACACCGGCGGCGAAGGCGGCCUGCUGGACCGCGACUGACGUUGAGGCUCGAAAGCGUGGGGAGCGAACAGG
rnacentral:rRNA from 1 species